GGAUGUGAGGGUGAUCUGGCUGCGACAUCUGUCACCCCAUUGAUCGCCAGGGUUAAUUUGGCUGAUCUGGCUGGCUAGGCGGGUGUCCCCUUCCUCCCUCACCGCUCCAUGUGCGUCCCUCCCGAAGCUGCACGCUCGGUGGAAGAGGAUGACAUCCCAGGUAUAGAAGAAGUGUACUGAGGUCUCCAGUCUUUGGUCCCGGGUAUACGAUAGCUGCGCUCUCUUGCUAGAACCUCCAAACAAGCUCAAGGUCCAUUUGUAGGAGAACGUAGGGUACUCAGAUAUUAUAGAAUUGUACUUUCAGUUCCUAUUAAUA
rnacentral:snRNA from 11 species